rnacentral:lncRNA from 1 species
AUGGAGCACAGGCCGCCAGUGCUGUGGAUGGUGAGUCAGGGAAUAAAAAAAAAGAUCAGCCCAUCCUCCCCUUACGAGACACAACACCCAUCUUUAACAUAACCUCAUCAAACCUCCAGCAGCCGUGCCAACUAGCAAGGGAAAAAGCAUCCAGGCAUCCAGGACAAACACGAGUACAUGAGCAUCCUCAGGACUGUUUGCUGAGGCUGGGGAUUAAAAGGUUCCCUGAAGUCUUUGAGCCGUAAGAGCUCUGAGUACAUCCUGCCACAAGUACUUCUGUCAUCAAGGCAAUGUAACGCCACAAUCGGGCUUUCGCUUAAUCCUCUCACAGGUAAACGGCGGGACAUUUUGCCGGAGGAAUUUUUGCGCUCAAAGAGUCCUUAAACAGAAUGUGAAUAAGGUUUCGGUGACAGAGCUGUCUGGAGAAUGAAGCUCCUGGAAUAGGAAUCCAUCUUUUUUUUUUGUUGCUGGAACAAUGGCAGAAUGAAAGCGUAGAAUCCUGAAUUUCUUUACUGGAGGGAGGGCAACAUGGCAAAGCCCUUCUACAGGCUUCAGCGCUUCUUGCGACGGACUCAGCUGCUCUUCUUGUUUCUCGGUGUUGCUUACAUUAUGGCUGGAAGUGUCCUUCUUCUGCAGAGACAUGGACUGGUGGUAUCACAGCGUGGGAUGAGUAGUUAUUACCCAUUGCCAUCUUUGCCGUCUCCUCCCAGGGCCCUGGAGGCACCUGCCCUGCGGACGAGUUAUGGAAUAAUGGGUGCUCGGCUUGCUGGAAAGGGGGUGGGAUACCAAAGUGUUUUGUCCGAAGACAGCGAUGGGCCACAAUGGCUCAUCUCACGAAACCAGGAGAUCCGACAUCUGAGACGCCGCUGGUUCCACAGCCUCAUGUCAGAACAAGAAGCAUCCAGAGUGGAGAAAGUCCUUCCGAAGAGAAAGAUCAGACACAAAGGGACGUACUUGGGUUGCUUUCUGGAUGACGCCAAGGAGCGGGCGCUCAAAGGAAUGGUUUUUUAUGACUUCCGGAAAAUGACCAGCACAUUGUGUCAGGACACCUGCACGGAAAGGUAUGCCAAUAGCACACAAUAUUCUCAAAUACAGGCAGAUUUCGGUGUAAUCGUUGAGCCACCAAAAAGCAGAUGGACAUCUGUUGCCUUGAGGCUUCUCUGUGCUCGCCUUAAAUCAAGAAAUAAUGAAACAGUGUUUAGGGAAAAGAACAUGCAGUGUGCAUCCCUGUGCCAGCUGGCGGAGCUCAUGCUGGGAAUUGGAUCAUGCCCAAUUAAUGGAGCGCGGCUCUGAACCCAGAGCUGGAGGAGAAACAUCUAUCUGUCGUGAUGGAGGAGACACUUUCUCUAGUUCUUAGGCCGGUAGAUAAUUGACCACCCGAGAACAAGUGUGAGGCAGACUGACCUCCUGUAAUUACCCCCAACGUUUCA